UACGGAGGGGGCGAGCGUUGUCCGAAGUUACUGGGCGUAAAGCGCGCGUAGGCGGGUUGGCAAGUCCGCUGUGAAAGCCCGGUGCUUAACGCCGGAGGGUCGGUGGAUACUGCCAGUCUUGAAGGUGCUAGGGGAAGAUGGAAUUACCAGUGUAGCGGUGAAAUGCGUAGAUAUUGGUAGGAACACCAGUGGCGAAGGCGGUCUUCUGGAGCACUCUUGACGCUGAGGCGCGAAAGCUGGGGGAGCGAACGAG
rnacentral:rRNA from 1 species